rnacentral:lncRNA from 1 species
CACUUCUGAAGCAAAGCAGAUUAAAGGCUUCAGGGACUACCAUUGCCAUUCUAACCAGACUCCUCUUUCAAUUGGUCUGGUGGAUCUUCCUGGAAGGAACUUGAAAGAGCAUGGGACAGGACAGAGAUUACUGAGUGAAACACUUGCUCGUGUGUUGAUGUGUGAGAGAGCCCAGCGCUUGGACAUCUUCACGUGUGCCCUGGAGGCAGAGUAUAUUCUAUACUAG